UUUUUCGGUUUUCCAAGUUCCUUCCUCUUUCGGUAUACUUUUUUCCCAUAGCUACAGUUUCUCUCUCCUCGCCGCCGGGAAACCGCUUUCUCCGACGGGAAACCGCUACCCCGCCCUGCUUUUCGGCCUCCGUUUCUCGUCGGAAACAGCUUGUGCGCUUUCUCUGGUGGAUAUUGUCAGGCGGAUUUUGAUAUCCGUCGGACACGGUUACGCGGCGAUUCGGAUCUCCGCGUUUGACUCGGUCUGUCUCGAUUCACGGCGUUUUCUUAAAAUGUGGUGUGCCGUGUUCGCGUAUCAAGUUGUGGCUUGAUUCCGCGGGUUGAGGUCGUGAUCUAGGGUUUCAUAUCUCCUUGGUUUGGCUGGGAUUCUGGCUUUGUUCUUUGCUUGUCGCGGUCUGGUUUUCGUUGAGUUGAAGAGAACGGAGGCCUACAGAGAUAGACUACGGAAUGCCAUGGUCGAAGGGAGGGUCUGCUUGUCCAAAGAGGCUAAGAAUGGUUUAGAAUAUCUUAAACGUAAAAGGCUUCAGAGAAUGAGAUCAGACUCUGUCAAUGAAACAGUAGGUGUGACCAACACAGUCAUUAGGAGUGGAGGUGAUGCGCUGAGAGCAUCGGCUUCAUGUGGUGUGAGGUUACGGUCAAAUGUUAGUGAUACGAUCUCCAGAUUGAAUGGUGUAUCUGCUGGGAAGAAUGGCUUAUUGAAGCGCAAAGUAGAGAAGUUUGAAACAGAUAAUCUCGAUUGGACCGACAGACUUCCAGAGUGUCCUGUCUACAGACCAACAAAGGAUGAGUUUGAGGAUCCUUUAAUUUAUUUGCAGAAGAUUGCUCCAGAGGCUUCUAAAUAUGGUAUCUGCAAGAUCAUUUCCCCUUUGAUGGCAACAGUUCCUGCAGGAGUUGUGUUGAUGAAAGAGAAAGUAAACUUUAAGUUCACAACCAGAGUACAACCUCUUCGACUUGCUGAGUGGGACUCCGAAGAUAAAGUUACAUUUUUCAUGAGUGGGAGGAACUAUACUUUUCGUGAUUUUGAGAGAAUGGCGAACAAGGUAUUUGGUCGUAGAUACUCUAGUGGCGGUUGUCUUCCUGAAGCUUUCUUGGAAAAAGAAUUUUGGAAGGAAAUUGCUGGUGGCAUGGCGGAGACAGUUGAAUAUGCAUGCGAUGUAGAUGGUAGCGCGUUCUCAACUUCGCCUAGUGACCCACUUGGAAGCAGCAACUGGAACUUGAAGAAAGUUUCGCGGCUGCCAAAGUCCACUCUGCGUCUUCUUGAGGCAUCUAUUCCGGGAGUCACUGAACCAAUGCUUUACAUUGGGAUGCUGUUCAGUAUGUUUGCUUGGCAUGUUGAGGAUCAUUAUUUGUACAGCAUUAAUUAUCAGCAUUGUGGAGCAUCAAAAACUUGGUACGGUGUUCCAGGUGCUGCAGCCCUAAAAUUUGAAAAGGUGGUCAGGGAGUGUGUAUACAGUGAUGAUAUUCUGUCAACCAUUGGAGAGGAUGGAGCCUUUGAUGUGCUUCUGGGGAAAACAACCCUAUUCCCACCAAACAUUCUGUUGGAUCAUGAUGUGCCUGUUUACAGGGCCAUACAAAGGCCUGGGGAGUUUAUUGUUACAUUCCCUAGGGCAUAUCAUGCCGGCUUCAGCCACGGCUUUAACUGUGGCGAGGCUGUGAACUUUGCUAUGGGUGACUGGUUUCCCUUUGGAGCUAUUGCCAGCUGCCGCUAUGCUUAUCUUAACAGGGUCCCUUUGCUUCCUCACGAGGAAUUGAUUUGCAAGGAAGCAAUGCUUUUAUACACAAGAUCUGAACUCCAAGAUCUGAAUUUUUCACCUGCAGACUUGGUGGCACACCAUUGCAUCAAGGUUGCCUUUGUCCACCUGAUACGUUUCCUUCAUUGGGCUCGUUGGUCUUUGAUGAAAUCAAGAUCAUGCACAGGCCUCACUUCGAAUACAUAUGGGACCAUUGUAUGCAGUUUGUGUAAACGGGAUUGUUAUUUGGCUUUUAUAAACUGUGACUGUUACGCGCAUCCUGUUUGCCUUCGCCAUGAUAUUAAAACGCUUGACCUCCCAUGUGGGAGUAUCCGCACCCUUUUCUUGAGGGAUGGCAUUGAAGACAUGGAAGUUGCUGCCAAGAAGUUUGAGGAGGAAGAUGGAGUAUCAGAUGCAAAUUUGAUGGCAGGCGAAGGAGACUUGUAUCCAUACCUGAUGUCAAACACCUUUCCAGUGACUGGAGGAGACGGAUACUCUCCUUAUUCCACCAUAGAUUUUGACUUCGCCCCUGAAAUGGAUAUGACAUCUCGUGACCAGGCAAAGCAAGGAAACCCUGUCUUGAGCCUUGAAGCUGGUGUCUCGUGUCUGUCCUCCGUUGUUGAUGAUUAUGAAUCCGCAACAACUCCUGAUUAUCAGGUACAGGGCCGAGCUAAUGUUAGCAGUGUUGACUCCAAGCUGUCUACAGAAGUAACAUGCAGUAGUUACAAAACUCCAUUAUUCUCUGCGUUUCCAGGGGAACUUCCAAAUUCCCAUUCUGGGAAAUCUCACCACGUCCCAAGUGAUAGACCUGUGGUGGAUCAGGAAAGUGAUGGCUCUGAUUCCGAGGUUUUUAGGGUCAAACGCCGUUCUUCUGUGAAGUUUGAGAACCGAACAUUGGUCCUUGACACGUUAGUAAGGAACUCUGAGCAUCAGGAGGGGCUUAAACGACUGAAGAAACCGCAACAUGAAAGAAGGUGUGGCCAACUGGUACAAUCCAAGGAUGAGCCUGUAAUUGAAUCUCGCUCUAUCUCAAACCGAAGGGAAACGUUGCAGCAAAGUGCUUCAACCGACAGAAUCGUUAGAGGAAGCACGGUUACCGGUUUGAUAAAGAUCAAGAAGACCGGGAAUCAUAAUCAAAUAAGCAGACCACCGCAGCAACAGAAUCACUGGGAAGGCAGAGGAGGAGGGCCAAAGCGUCUAAAAGUAAAGGGGCCGAGGUUCGCUCAACCAGAAGGAUGAGCAAAAAAGCAUAACAAAGACUCCCUGACUAUCAUUUUUUUUCCUGCUAACCGGAUUCUAUUGUUACAAUAUGGGAGUUCUAACAACGCCGGGGGAGAUGAGGAGGCAAACACAUAUAGCUGAUUUCUGGGAGGAAGCAACAGACAUAACAUAGAAAAAGUUUAACCCAGUUUCAUUGGUAGGACACAAUCUUUGAUUCUUUUUGUGCAGGAUGUAUGUCCAAAACCUAGGGGGGCAACCCGCACCUACGUCUUUGAAAGAAACAAAAAAAAGGAAGAAAAAUUGCUUAUGGAGAGGGAAGGGAGGGAGUGUUCUCUCAGGCCGCGGUGUUUUUCCUCCGUGGUAGGGGAGCCUCAAAAGCCGGAGGUGUACAGUAGGUGAGGGACUGCGUGUUUUGCUUUCACACAUGUCAAAUUUGUUAUAUAUGUUUCUAUAGAGCUCCCAUUAAAAGGGCCAAUUGGGGUCGUUCACCUUCACGUAUCGGAAACGCAAACGCUAUACGCAUCCUGUAACAUUCAGUUUUGUUCAUCUUACUUGGGGAUAUUCUCCUCCCUCGGCAUUGGGCCAAAGAAAUUAGGCAACUGAACAGUUCAUGGGGGUCUGAAAUGGGGCUUUCUCGGCGGCCCAUUGUCAGUCAGUAGCACGUUCGGUCCCAUCAUUUUUGUGGAGCGGAUUCCAUUUGAUAACAUGUCCAUUAUGCGAGCAUGUUAUACUUUAAAUACUAUGAUACCGCUUAAUAUUUCUAUUUUUCAAUAUAACACACAGAUUUAUGCAAAUGUUGAACCGUGGAUUUUAGAAAGAUAUACUUUUUGUUCCA